UACGGAGGGUGCAAGCGUUAUCCGGAUUCACUGGGUUUAAAGGGUGCGUAGGUGGGAUGGUAAGUCCGUGGUGAAAUCUCCAAGCUUAACUUGGAAACUGCCGUGGAUACUAUCAUUCUUGAAUAUCGUGGAGGUAAGCGGAAUAUGUCAUGUAGCGGUGAAAUGCUUAGAUAUGACAUAGAACACCGAUAGCGAAGGCAGCUUACUACACGAUUAUUGACACUGAGGCACGAAAGCGUGGGGAUCAAACAGG
rnacentral:rRNA from 1 species